UACGUAGGGGGCAAGCGUUGUCCGGAUUUAUUGGGCGUAAAGCGCUCGCAGGUGGUCCGAUGCGUCGUGCGUGAAAGACCCCGGCUCAACCCGGGAACUGCGUCCGAUACUGGAAGGCUUGAAUCCGGGAGAGGGAUGCGGAAUUCCAGGUGUAGCGGUGAAAUGCGUAGAUAUCUGGAGGAACACCGAUGGCGAAGGCAGUGUUCUGGGCCAGUACUGACGCUGAGGAGCGAAAGCGUGGGGAGCGAACAGG
rnacentral:rRNA from 1 species